CCUCGAUUCGCGGACAAUGCCCGCAGAGGAACGCCCGUGUUCAUUACUGUGACUAAAAAGUGCGACCAAAGCAGUCCAACGACAUGAAUUAGAAAGCAUGGGAUAACAAAGGAGCAGCCUUCGGCUACCGUUUCGGCUUUUGUUGGUAUUGACAGUCUAUAGGAGACUAUGGACGGCGUGACCGGUGAAGGGAUUUUCCCAACAUCUCCUGCUGCUUCGGUAUCAGGCUUCGCCGUUCGGAAUGAAGGAGGGUUGGCUCGGGGGAAAACGUACUUGAGUGUGAGAGGUGAAAUUCUUGACCACUCAAAGACGAACUACAGCGAAGGCAUUUUCCAAGGAUACCUUCCUCAAUCGGAACCAAAGUGUGGAGAUCGAAGAUGAUUAGAUACCAUUGUAGUCC
rnacentral:rRNA from 1 species